rnacentral:lncRNA from 1 species
AGUAGAUCCACUGCCUUUGGUUGGGCCGGCUGAAUCGCUGGGGACUGCGGCCAGUCUCUUAAAAAAGGAGAACAAAAAGCCGAAGACCUUGUGUGGCCGCCGGGACAAAGCACCUUGGGUUCGGCGAGAAGGGACGCGCAGGAGCGCUGAACCCAGAACACGCGUGGCCGCUGCGGAAGGGCGUCCGCCCGGCGUGCGGAACGCUGAGGGGACUCUCAUCCUCUGUCUCGCCCCCUUUUUUUGACCCGGGGAUCCAGCCGCAUUAUACACGAGUGACCUUUUAAAUCUACGUCCACCCUUUACCUGCGAGAGGACUGCAGCAGGCGAGUUCCGGAAGGCUGAAUCCCCAGGUCCCAGCCCCGGACCGCGGCAACUCGCCCCUGCGGCACGCCCGGCCCGGCUGCGCCCCCACUCAGCGAUGGAGGAAAAAGCCUGGAUGCGAAAGGAUGGGGGAGAACAAAGAGCCUUUGGAAGACGUCGCUGUUAUCUCAUUGUCUGUGUGAUUGGGGGAGCUGCGGCGGGGAGGAUGCUGUGGUCCCUUCCUCCGGCGUUCCCCACCCCCAUCCCUCUCCCCGCUGUCAGUGCGCACGCACACGCGCCGCUUUUUAUUUCUUUUUCCUGGUUUUCUUAUUCCAUCUUCUACCCACCCCUCUUCCUUUCUUUCACCUUUCCUUCCUUCCUUCCUCCUUUCCUUCCUCAGGAGAAAGGCCUCUCUCU